GACGAACGCUGGCGGCGUGCUUAACACAUGCAAGUCGAACGAUGAACCGGGUGCUUGCACUUGGGGAUUAGUGGCGAACGGGUGAGUAACACGUGAGUAACCUGCCCUGGACUCUGGGAUAACCCCGAGAAAUCGGAGCUAAUACCGGAUAGGACCUUUCCUCGCAUGAGGUUUGGUGGAAAGUUUUUCGGUCUGGGAUGGACUCGCGGCCUAUCAGCUUGUUGGUGAGGUAAUGGCUCACCAAGGCGUCGACGGGUAGCCGGCCUGAGAGGGUGACCGGCCACACUGGGACUGAGACACGGCCCAGACUCCUACGGGAGGCAGCAGUGGGGAAUAUUGCACAAUGGGCGCAAGCCUGAUGCAGCAAUGCCGCGUGCGGGAUGACGGCCUUCGGGUUGUAAACCGCUUUUAGUAGGGAAGAAGGGCUUCGGCUUGACGGUACCUGCAGAAAAAGGACCGGCUAACUACGUGCCAGCCGCCGCAGUAAUAC
rnacentral:rRNA from 1 species